UACGAAGGGGGCUAGCGUUGUUCGGAAUUACUGGGCGUAAAGCGCGCGCAGGCGGUCUUCCAAGUCAGUGGUGAAAGCCCGGAGCUCAACUCCGGAACUGCCAUUGAAACUGUGAGACUUGAGGAUGAGAGAGGUGAGUGGAAUUCCCAGUGUAGAGGUGAAAUUCGUAGAUAUUGGGAAGAACACCGGUGGCGAAGGCGGCUCACUGGCUCAUAUCUGACGCUCAGGCGCGACAGCGUGAGGAUCAAACAGG
rnacentral:rRNA from 1 species